CAUAGGACAUAUGAAAUGUACUAUUUAAUAUAAAAAGAAAUGUUAUCAAAUAGGAGCCCAGAGUGACAGUUUUCCUUGAUGUUUGCCAAUCUGUUUGCCAUAAAUGGUCUGUAACAUUUUGGGAAUAUAUAUCG
ensembl:snoRNA